GUAGGGAAUCUUGCGCAAUGGGCGAAAGCCUGACGCAGCCAUGCCGCGUGAAUGAUGAAGGUCUUAGGAUUGUAAAAUUCUUUCACCGGGGACGAUAAUGACGGUACCCGGAGAAGAAGCCCCGGCUAACUUCGUGCCAGCAGCCGCGGUAAUACGAAGGGGGCUAGCGUUGCUCGGAAUUACUGGGCGUAAAGGGAGCGUAGGCGGAUAGUUUAGUCAGAGGUGAAAGCCCAGGGCUCAACCUUGGAAUUGCCAUUGAUACUGGCUAUCUUGAGUAUGGAAGAGGUAUGUGGAACUCCGAGUGUAGAGGUGAAAUUCGUAGAUAUUCGGAAGAACACCAGUGGCGAAGGCGACAUACUGGUCCAUUACUGACGCUGAGGCUCGAAAGCGUGGGGAGCAAACAGGAUUAGAUACCCUGGUAGUCC
rnacentral:rRNA from 1 species